GCCAUGAUGACGCGCCGGGGUGGCUGUGAGGAGCCUGAUUCCCGUGGCUCGCUGGCCCCGAGAGGGGGUGUUUGAGGGGACGUUCCUAGCAGCUGCCGAAACCGUUUGUUUCGGGGAUCCUCCCUGUUUCUCCCCUGCUUGGCACUGGCGGCCAACGUAUGCUGUUCCUUGGUGGAACGGAAACGUGCAUCUGGACGAGCCGACGAGCUUCAAGACCAAAUAAAAUCUUUGGACUCCUGGCCUAGUAUACAAGGAACUGCAAAGAGUACAGAGUUUCCAGAGCAAGAAGCUUGUGAGGCCAGGCUGGAGAGUGAGGCCGGGACCAGAUGACCGGGCCAUGCUUGUCAAGCUCCAGCAGUUCCAGCCAGGCCGG